rnacentral:lncRNA from 1 species
CGCCCGGCGGAGCGGCGGGAGCGGCGGCGGGCGCGGGGCCCUCCCGGCGCUACCUGUGCGAGCGCCGCGGGGCCGGGCGGGGCCGGGAGCGCUCCCAGCAUGGACUUUGACGAGUCCCAGACGUGAAGCUGUCUGUGCUCUCCUGGGGACAAGGGGACAACCUGUAAGAAGCAGACGUGGUUCUGAUUUCCUCGGAAGAAGCACAAAAGGAGAUGUCCUGUUCUUUGAAAAUAACUGGAGCCACUGGCAAGAAGCAGCGACGCCGCACCGAACAAGGGAACCACUUCCAGGUUAUCCAAGCAUGCUGCUGAACUGACUUUUGCA